GGCCUGAUGGUCUAGUAGUAUGAUUCCUUGUUAGGGAUUUGUCAUGAUUAUGCAAUCAUGACGGUCACGUGAUAUCGAGGAGGUCCUGGGUUCAAUUCCCAGUUAGGCCC